AAGAUCAUACUUUCAGGGAUCAUUUCUAUAGUCUUUGACUUGAGAAAUAUCGUAAUGAAGUGUUUUGUUAUUUUGAAGAGAACUGAUGUUCCUUCUGGCGCGGAUGAUGCAUUUCAUCUGUCAACAUUGAUGACCGUUCCAUGCUCUCUAGUGGAGCCUGGAGGUAGGGAUCAUGAUCAGA
ensembl:snoRNA U3 Small nucleolar RNA U3